rnacentral:lncRNA from 1 species
UUGGUUUUUUUUCAAAUCAUCCAGACUAUCAAGUACAAAAUUCUUGAAAGUUAUUUUAGAUUGUCAAUGCUUGGGUGAAGGAGUAAACAAAAAAACCUUCCAGGAUUUUAAAUGUUAAAUUUGGAUUACCAACAACCAGGAUAAUAGAUGAUGUUCAGUGAUCCUGAUGAACUAGGAAACCUUUGUUCAAACUGUUUACAUAUCAUUGAUCUUAAAAGGUAUCACAAAAAAAAGGCAUGUCUGAAAAUUAGGCUCUUAGUACAAAUAUUUUGAAUUGGCAACAACUUUUAUCACUAGCCUUUUUUU